rnacentral:lncRNA from 1 species
UUGUUUUGAAAUUAAUAGUGAUUUUGAAAAAUAGAGUACACGGAGACUGUUAAUUGUGGCAAUUUGAUUGUUCAAAUUGACUGGCUUAUGAUAAAUCGAGCAUGAUUGGCUAGUUGGCAAUUGUAUUGAAAUGCGAAUUGUUUGGUUACCUUGAAAAACUGCGAAUUACAAAAUUGUCAUAUCAUGUUAUUGAGUUUUAUUAUAUGGUGAAUUAUAUAUUAAUUAAUCACUGCAGUAGGGGGUUUCUGUGGACCAGCCUUUUAGAGGGGCACGGUAAACCCCAUUAGAUUCUUACCUCGAACGGAGAGGCCCGUAGGGUAUCUCCUGGGG